rnacentral:rRNA from 1 species
AGUCUGACCGAGCAACGCCGCGUGAGUAAAGAAGGUUUUCGGAUCGUAAAGCUCUGUUGUAAGAGAAGAACGAGUGUGAGAGUGGAAAGUUCACACUGUGACGGUAUCUUACCAGAAAGGGACGGCUAACUACGUGCCAGCAGCCGCGGUAAUACGUAGGUCCCGAGCGUUGUCCGGAUUUAUUGGGCGUAAAGCGAGCGCAGGCGGUUAGAUAAGUCUGAAGUUAAAGGCUGUGGCUUAACCAUAGUACGCUUUGGAAACUGUUUAACUUGAGUGCAAGAGGGGAGAGUGGAAUUCCAUGUGUAGCGGUGUAAUGCGUAGAUAUAUGGAGGAACACCGGUGGCGAAAGCGGCUCUCUGGCUUGUAAGCGGCCCCGGAGGCUAAAAAAGCGUGGGAACCCACAGAUGAUAUACAUUACCCUGGUAGUCCACGCCGUAAAACGAUGAAGUGCUAGGUGUUAGACCCUUUCCGGGGUUUAGUGCCGCAGCUAACGCAUUAAGCACUCCGCCUGGGGGAGUACGAAC